GUCAUACAACUGCUUAUAAGAGUAGCUUGAUUUUGUAUUCUUAAAGUGCCUUGGGAUUCGCAACCGCCCUUCGGGAGAGCCCAAGGAGUGAAGGCUGGGGACUGAAAUUUUCUGCUCUGCCCUGCCCUUAACUUUUGUGGUCACAAGAACAAGUGCACUUAAGAGGUGCCACUAUACUGAAGCAGAGAGGACUGAGCUGACAAUUCCUGAAGACCUACUUCCUAUAGACCAUAGACGGGGCCGAAGGAGGAGAAGCUGGCAGAACUGGAACUCAAAAACUGGCCAUCUCCCAGUGAACCUUAGUAAGGCAUACUUUACAUAAAGAACUAUUCUUGAAGCUUGAGCUAUCAGGACCAUAGCACUUCUGAAGAAAGUGUGUUUUUCAGUAAGGACUUAUCAGGACAUCUACAAACAUCCCAUUGAUGAAAUAACCUCCUUUCUUAUUUUUGGUCAAGAUGGUCAAAAAUUGAUCCUCUACUGGGGCCUGGGGUACAGAGUUAACAUGUAUAUACAUGUGGACUGGGCUACUAUUAUGUGACAGAGAGAACUUUUACCUAUUAAGUUUUAUUUGUUCUUUUUGCAACUAGAGUUCAGGUUUUACUUCUCGAUUCAGUAGGAUGGAAUAAUCUUGUUAAACAUCUACACCAAUUCCUCUAAUUACAGAAAUGUCUUCUAUAAAGAAAUCAGAAGUAAAGCUUGCAGGGAUUUUACUCAUUGCUGUCUUUAAGCAGAAGCCAAUUGCCAAUGGGCUGAAUAACCGUGCAGGAGGUGUAAUGGGCUUAAACACAGGUCUUAGAUAUUUUAGGCUAUUUGAGAAAACAAUCUAGCAUAACUCUUAUAUUGCUGAAAAUGGCACUAGAAAGUGCAACACAAAUGUAUAUUCACAGAUCUAUCAUUAUUCUGAUCUCAAAAUGAGAUGUUCCCUUUUGUCUACUAAGGAAGGAAGAAGUUUCAAAAUGGUAAUGAUAUAUAAAGCAUACUCACCACAAAACACACAACUAGGCAUGGACACAGUACUCAAUAUAGCUACUUUUUAAUUUUUAGGCAAGGACUCAAAGACCUGAGAGGAGUCUUAGAAAUCAAUCAGACCAACUUUCUUAUUUUAUUACUUUUAGUUUCUGCCCCAUAGGUGGUCCUCUACCCAAAUUAAAGUUUAAUUACUCGUAUUUCUUAAAAGAUUUUGCAAAACAGAGAUACUGACUUGCUAUUUCAUAUGCAAAUAAUGAAAUUUAAUAUAUGCUUAAUAAAUUCAACACAGACUCUCUAGUGUUGUAGAUCCCUCCUUCCACCAAUUAUUAAGGCAAUUACUGAUUUGUUGUAUGCUCUUUUAAUUUUAUUUUUAUUGGUAACUAUAUCUUCUUUCUUCCCCCUUACAAAGCAAGACAUUUCUUAUGACAAAAUUUAAAAGAGGAGAAAAAAAUUAUUCACCCUUUCCCCUCCCCGCAAAGAUGGCAGGGAAGUAUAUAUUCUUAACUCUUCUCCAGCUUGGUCAUUAUAAUUACAUGACAUUUAAUUUUGGCUUUGUCUUGUUUUCUUUCCAUUUGCCCUGUUGUA